rnacentral:lncRNA from 1 species
CAAGAGCUCAUGUUCUUUUUCUGCACCUCUUGGGCAAAUGUGCCCUGAAUUUGCUCUGAUCUGUCUGUGUCUCUGCUUGAGUCCCUAACAUUGAGAAAUUUCCUUAAAAUGCAGGGAAAUGGCUUCUUUGGGGAAACACUGCAGAUGGCCAGAGGCACCAGACCAGGGGACUCUGGUUCUUGGCAGUCAAACCAUCCCUGAUCUGGGAUCUAACUGGGGGUGGGUCCCCAAGUCUUCUGUUUGGGGGCUGGCCUUGCCAGGGAGCUCUGCAGCUCCUGGGAAACAAGUUUAUCAGGGUCAGUGUCCCAGUGCCAGACUGGACCUGUGGGGUCUGUGUGGAUCACCCCACCUUGAGUUUCUAGGUCAGAUUCCCCAUUCCGCUGCUCCUGCGCUAGAACAGCGCUCAGGUUGCACAAUUGCAGAGGAGGGAGGAAUCUGCUUCCCGAAUCCCGAUCUCCCCGGGAGCCUUUCCCGAUUCUCCCCUUCUUCCCAGCAUAUCCUGCUGGAUCCCACCGCAGUGGGAGCAGCCCGGCAGCCUGGCUCUGCCCAGCCGCCCUCCGUCCUCCCUCCCUCCCUCUCCCUCAU